rnacentral:rRNA from 1 species
AUACGGAGGAUGCGAGCGUUAUCCGGAUUCAUUGGGUUUAAAGGGUGCGCAGGCGGCCGUGCAAGUCAGCGGUGAAAGCCCGGGGCUCAACCCCGGAAGUGCCGUUGAUACUGCAUGGCUGGAAUGCGGUCGAGGCGGGCGGAACGGGGCGUGGAGCGGGGGAAUGCGUAGAUAUGCCACAGAACGCCGAUAGCGGAGGCAGCUCGCCAGGCCUGCAUUGACGCUCGGGCACGAAAGCGUGGGGAUCGAACAGGAUUAGAUACCCGGGUAGUCCACGCCGUAAACGAUGGGCGCUCGUCGUCGGCGGCAGACAGUCGGCGGCCAAGCGAAAGCGAUAAGCGCCCCACCUGGGGAGUACGGUCGCAAGGCUGAAACUCAAAUGAAUUGACGGGG